GUGGAGUCUUUCUCUCUAAAUAAAUCCACUUCUUACCUAUCAUUUAGUCUCUCACUGCAUUCUUUCUGUGAUGAGACAUCAAGAACCUGAGCUUUGUUAAGUCCUGAGACCAGAAAAAGCCCUAUGAUCAAGACCAAAAAAUAUGCUUUCCCUUCUCUCCAGACCUGUUCCAGGUACUGCUGAAAAGAUAAGGAGACAUGAUCCAUGGCUCACGGCACAGAGCAACUGAGUCCCCGCACCAAAGCGGCCGAGCCUGUGUUCUAGAGUCUCGGAGCCACAACGACUGAGGCCCACAUGCCCCAGAGCCCGUGCUCUGCAACAAGGGAAGCCACCGCAACGAGAAGCCCACGCAUCACAACGACAGAGCAGCCCCUGCUUGCCACAACUAGAGAAAAGCCCUCACAGCAACGAAGACCCAGC